rnacentral:rRNA from 1 species
UAGAGUUUGAUCCUGGCUCAGGAUGAACGCUAGCGGCAGGCUUAACACAUGCAAGUCGAGGGGCAUCGGGAGGGAAGCUUGCUUUCCUUGCCGGCGACCGGCGCACGGGUGAGUAACACGUAUGCAACCUGCCCUCUUCAGGGGGACAACCUUCCGAAAGGGAGGCUAAUCCCGCGUAUAUCGGUUUCGGGCAUCCGAGAUCGAGGAAAGAUUCAUCGGAAGAGGAUGGGCAUGCGGCGCAUUAGGUAGACGGCGGGGUAACGGCCCACCGUGCCGACGAUGCGUAGGGGUUCUGAGAGGAAGGCCCCCCACACUGGUACUGAGACACGGACCAGACUCCUACGGGAGGCAGCAGUGAGGAAUUUUGGUCAAUGGCCGAGAGGCUGAACCAGCCAAGUCGCGUGAGGGAAGAAUGUCCUAAGGAUUGUAAACCUCUUUUGUCGGGGAGCAAAAAGGCUCUGCGGAGUCGUAUUGAGAGUACCCGAAGAAAAAGCAUCGGCUAACUCCGUGCCAGCAGCCGCGGUAAUACGGAGGAUGCGAGCGUUAUCCGGAUUUAUUGGGUUUAAAGGGUGCGCAGGCGGCGUGUCAAGCAAGCGGUAAAAUAGCGGGGCUCAACCCCGUCGAGCCGUUUGAACUGGCGCGCUUGAGUUCAGGCGAGGUAGGCGGAAUUCGUGGUGUAGCGGUGAAAUGCAUAGAUAUCACGAAGAACUCCGAUUGCGAAGGCAGCUUACCAGUCUGCGACUGACGCUCAGGCACGAAAGUGUGGGUAUCGAACAGGAUUAGAUACCCUGGUAGUCCACACAGUAAACGAUGAGCGCUAGGUGUCCGGGUCGAAUGAGGCUUGGGUGCCCGAGCGAAAGCGUUAAGCGCUCCACCUGGGGAGUACGCCGGCAACGGUGAAACUCAAAGGAAUUGACGGGGGCCCGCACAAGCGGAGGAACAUGUGGUUUAAUUCGAUGAUACGCGAGGAACCUUACCCGGGCUCAAACGACUCAGGAAUAUAUUGGAAACGAUGUAGCCAGCAAUGGUCUGAGUCGAGGUGCUGCAUGGUUGUCGUCAGCUCGUGCCGUGAGGUGUCGGCUUAAGUGCCAUAACGAGCGCAACCCCUACCGCCAGUUGCCAACGGGUAAAGCCGGGAACUCUGGCGGGACUGCCGGCGCAAGCUGCGAGGAAGGCGGGGAUGACGUCAAAUCAGCACGGCCCUUACGUCCGGGGCGACACACGUGUUACAAUGGCAGGUACAGCGGGAAGCCACCUGGUGACAGGGAGCGGAACCCGAAAGCCUGUCUCAGUUCGGAUUGGAGUCUGCAACUCGACUCCAUGAAGCUGGAUUCGCUAGUAAUCGCGCAUCAGCCAUGGCGCGGUGAAUACGUUCCCGGGCCUUGCACUCACCGCCCGUCA